UAGUGUAGUAAAAAAGGUCACUCUUGGGGCCUUCGCGUCGGAGGAAGGCCCCCGGGGCCGGCGCCGCGGCCAACCCCCGGUUCGCCCUCGCGCCCGACGACGACGACGGCCCCGAGAACCCCCUCGUCGCGUUCGUCCACCCGCGCAGCGGCGACCGCCCCGGCCCCGUCCUCAAGUCCCGCCCGCAGGAGCUCACCGGCGAAGACCAGGAAAAGAAUUAACACACUGCGUAUUAUGUGUAAUAAUUCUAUAUACCAUAAGGUUGAUCAGUGCUGGCAAUCCAAUGCAACGAAAGGAAGCAGAUCCAUCCUUCCAUGCGGCAAUACAGUCGCAACAAGAAUGACAAUGCAAAGCCGACUCCAAAUCCCAAGCCAACAAAUGCGAACAAAAGGAUAACGCCGAGUUUGUCCUGCCACAAACCCUCAGAUUCCGGAGGAGCCACUCCAGUUGGAGAAAUUGAACUUUGAUUGUCACAGUGUUUGGAGAGUGGAACUCCACAGAGGCCUGCAUUACCUUCAAAUGAACUGUCUGAAAAUGUUGAGAACUGGUUUCCUUGCGGGAUUCUUCCAUACAAGUUGUUGUACGAAAGAUUCAACCAUUCAAGAGAAGUAAGUGAGGUUAACUCCUGUGGUAUUUCCCCUGUUAUCUGGUUCCAAGAGAGAUCCAUUGCUUCCAGCUGAGACAAGUUUCUGUACUGAAAUGGAAUUUGUCCCAUGAAGUUGUUGUAUGACAUGUUAAGUCCGCGCAGGGCAACAAGCCUCCCAAUUGACUCCGGAACAGGACCAUCAAAUGAGUUAUUUGAGAAAUCUAUUGCAUUGAAAGUGCUUAGGAUUUUGGUGAAACUAAGAUCAAACCCUUUGAAUGUUAUGGUAACAGUAUCUUGAUAAAAUCGUGCACCUGAAUAUGUCUCAUGUCCUAGAACUUCUCCCCCAUCACUGACAUUUUCCAUCAUUGCUUUCAGUUCAUUAAACCAUCCUUCUGGUAGGUUUCCAGAGAAGUUGUUGGAGGCCAAAUCAAGUAUUUGCAAAUUUGCAAAGUAGUUGUUGAUUGUAUGAUCGCCUUUAAAAUCCCUUAUGGUGCCGUUUAGUUGGUUGAAUCUCAAGACAAGAACUCGAAGAUGUGGAAGAACACCCAACCAAGAUGGAAAAGAACCGAUAAUUUGAUUGUUACCAACAUCAAGGAGCUCUAGGCCUUGGCAAUUUGAUAGUGAUCUGGGUAUUUUCCCUUCAAUUAGAUUGUUGUUCAAAUCUAUUGUCUGAAGCAUACAUCCUUCUCCAAUAUUUUCAGGCAGCAUCCCAUGGAAAUGAUUCUCUCUCAAUUUCAAUGUACUCAAGCUAUUGCUACCUUGCAUUAGACAGGAUGGCACCACACCGCUGAAAUUGUUGUAUGAUAAGUCCAGUAUCUCAAGAUCUUGUUGGGUACAAA